UACGUAGGGCGCGAGCGUUGUCCGGAAUUAUUGGGCGUAAAGAGCUCGUAGGCGGCUUGUUGCGUCCGCUGUGAAAGCCCGGGGCUUAACCCCGGGUCGGCAGUGGAUACGGGCAGGCUAGAGGUAGGUAGGGGAGAAUGGAAUUCCCGGUGUAGCGGUGAAAUGCGCAGAUAUCGGGAAGAACACCCGUGGCGAAGGCGGUUCUCUGGGACGGUACUGACGCUGAGACGCGAAAGCGUGGGGAGCGAACAGG
rnacentral:rRNA from 1 species